rnacentral:rRNA from 1 species
CAGCCGCCGCGGGAAUACAGAGGUCCCGAGCGUUGUUCGGAUUCACUGGGCGUAAAGGGUGUGUAGGAGGCUAGGUAAGUCAGUUGUGAAAUCCCACCGCUCAACGGUGGAACUGCAAUCGAUACUGCUUGGCUAGAGGAUCGGAGGGGGAAGCGGAAUUCUUGGUGUAGCGGUGAAAUGCGUAGAUAUCAAGAGGAACACCGGUGGCGAAGGCAGCUUCCUGGAAGAUUCCUGACUCUGAAACACGAAAGCCAGGGGAGCGAAUGGGAUUAGAUACCCGCGUAGUCCCUGUCUCUUAUAC